rnacentral:tRNA from 1 species
UCCCCCAUGGCUCAGUUGGUAGAGCGUGGUGUUUGCAACGCCAGGGUUGUGGGGUCGAUUCCCAAGGGGGGCU